rnacentral:lncRNA from 1 species
GUGUAAUCCCACUCAACGAAGCCACAUCAUCUUCAGUCAUCUCACCGGAGACUUAAAUUAAAGAUAACUUCGAAUCUUGUUUCAUAUAGAAACUGAAACUGGAGACGCUUCUCUGACUGGUGGAGUCAGAUUUUGAUACCUAGAAUGGUAAAGGCCAUAUAAGUUGCUCUCAUUUAUACGUGCGGUUUAAUCUUAUUUCUGUUGGAAUAUGCUGCCAGCAACGACCGAGCAGAGUAGGGUGUGGGAGGGAAGAUGGGAGAAGAGAGACCACCUCCUGUGCUUUUCCUUUCGCCUGUUGGCAUCGGAUGAAAGAUAGCAAAAUGCAUGUAACUGUCUCCCUGACCUUGAGUAGCUGAUAAUUAGCUAGGAAGAUAGGAGGUGUAUAGGUUGUAAAAUAAAACAAGUGUAGCAUAAAGAUGUCAAUUAUUCCCAGAACAUACUUAGGGAUGCUUUCAGGUCUUGCUUUUCAAAAAACACUUUCCUGGUGUUUUUGCUCUAUUAGCAGGACUUAGAACAUCUUCCAUUUUUGAGAUAGUCCAAUUUGAGUUCCUGAUGCCAGGAAGGCCGCUUUUAAUUGUCUUUGUUGUCCUUCUGUUCCAGGUUUUUCUCUUUUUCCUGUUUCAGUUUUCUGGAAAACAGAGAGCUGCCAAGUGGGCUAUUCUUAGCACAGCUGUGCCCAUGUUUAGAAACAGUCACUAUUGUUUCCCUUGUUCUGCACUGAACCCACAACAAAUUAAUCCUCCUAAGAAAAAAGUGAGCCUUUACAACUGAGGAAAGGGAGCAAUGCCUGGGUUGCUCAGUGGUUGAGCAGCUGCCUUCGGCUCAGGGUGUGAUCCUGGGAUCCAGUCCCUCAUCGGGCUCCCCACAGGGAGCCUGCUUCUCCUUCUGCCUAUGUCUCUGCCUCUCUCAGUGUGUCUCUCAUGAAUAAAUAAAUAAAAUCUUAAAAAAAACA